rnacentral:lncRNA from 10 species
GUAUGGAACUCAUGCUGGGGCAGUAAUUACUGUAAUCUCGGGAACAAGCAUUUCAGUUAGCCAGGAGGGUGGCAGAAUAUGUUUCUCUCUCUCUUUCUCUCCCUCCCUCCCGCCUCCUCCCCAUCUCCGUCCCCCUCUCUCCCUCUUCCUCCCUGCCUCUCUUCUGUCUUCCCUCUCUCUCUCUCCCCACCUCCUUUCCUUCUCUCUCUCCCCCACCACUUUCUCUCCCCCCUCCUCCUCUUCCCCUCCUCCCUCUCCUUCCUUCCCUCCCUUUUCUCUCCGCUCUCUCACUCUCUUCUUGUUUCAAGAUUUUUGCUAUUUGCCAGGUUUCAUACCGGAACAAGUACAGUUGGAGAACAAAAGUUGCAGAGGGCGUGGGGACAGAGCAAAAGAAUUAAAAGUACAUUUGAGGCCAGUUCCGGUUUUCGGGGCGCUGCUGGUGGUGGUGGUAGCUCGUGGUUGUCCGUUCAGAAACAACUCUUGUCAUAAAACAAAAAUAACCAGCAGUAUUUGUAGAUUGCUUGAGCUGAUGGCAUCUAUGUCUUCCUCCUCCUGCUUUCUGUAGCUCAGUUAGCAACCUCAUUAUGAAACAUAUUACAAGUAGACUGUCAGACCGCACCCUGCCCCAGCGCCCCGUUUUUGGCAAGUUCUGUGUUCUAGGCAUAUCCACCAAUCUAUAGUUAUACCCCCCUAUCUUUUUAACUUUUUUAGUUUUAGUCUAUAGAGUUGAACCUCUUUAUACUGAAAAACAACACUUCCUUCCCACUUUUGUUUUGGAAAAACUAAAGUCCGUAGGAAUUCGGAAUUCAAAGGCUUCAGAAAUAUUAGCUGAUUCAGCAGAAAACGGGCUAUUCAAAAAUACAGACUAGACCUUUACUUGAUUAAAAAAUUUUUUUUCUUUUCUCACCUCCUGCAAAUCGGAAUUCCCACUUGUAUGUUGAAUGUAGAAAUUCACUAUCUCUGCGGUUGGCACCUUGUUUCCAGAGGGCGAGUCUCCAGAACGCAUCAGCUGCAGGAAAGAGAUCCUGUUGGAAGGAAGUACUCUUUGCUGUGUCUGCUGUCACCAGGCCAAGGUGCACAUGGAUGGAGAUAACAGGCCCACCUGUGCCACUGGCUGGCAGGCCCAUGCUCACUUUACAUGCAGCUGCUGCUUUGGAAUACGGCGACCGCACUGCCAUUAUUUAAGUUGAUAAUUAUUCUAAAAUUUGUUUUAAAAAUCAAUAAUUGAUUUUUUUUCUCAUCCACAUGGGAAUAUUUGCCAGAUAUUGAAGCUCUUAUUAUGGCAUGCAUUGUGCAUUAGUUUGGUAGAUUUCAGGUCCAGUAAAGACCUCCCGGGUAAAAGUGGCUUAGCCAAGAAGGACAUCUCAACAUAUCAAUAAGUCUAGAAGCAGACAUUUCACCGUCAGUUCUUUCUGCAGCUCCAGGAGGUUAGGGCUGCAGGUUGGCUUCUAGACUGUUGGUUUCCCCUUUGGUUACAGGGGGCCUCCCACCACUGAAUUGUCACAUUGGACUGUGGCCAGGGCUGGAGGACUGCUAUGAUAUUUUUCUUCCCUUAGGAAUGACAGCCUUUCCCUGAAGGCCCUUGGCUAACUUCCCCUUUGGGCAACCUGGUCUGAAUCUGUCACUUGGCCACUCUUAGCUGCAAGAGAGGCUGUGAAAGUGAGGAUCUGGAGAGUGGCUGUUGAUGGGGACACUGGUAGCCAGGAAGGGGAGGAGGGACAACCCACAGUGUCAGAUGCACAUUACUGUGUGAAAGCAGUGAACUUCCAAGCAAUACCAUUGAGUCAACUUCCCUGGUCUUACAGCGGAAUUUAUGCAGGGUUAUAAAUUAAGCAUGAUCUAGAUCCAAGAAAACCUUGAGAUCUACAUUUUUUUUUUGAAGUUCACACAAUACAGUUCUUUGUACAUUUAGUAUGAAAUAAACGUCAAGCAGUUUACAGCGCAUUUUAUUUGCAGUGUGCAUUCACUGUAGUGGAACUCACUCCCUAUUUCCUUUUUCUUCAGAACUCCCCCUCCCAUUUGGAGACUUAACUAAAAACAUUGACACAGGCUGGGCACGGUGGCUGACGCCUGCCAUCCCAGC